GGCGAACGCUGGCGGCGUGCUUAACACAUGCAAGUCGAACGGAAAGGCCUGCUUUCCCUUGUGGAUUGCGGGUACUCGAGUGGCGAACGGGUGAGUAACACGUGAGUGAUCUGCCCCCAACUUGGGUAUAAGCCUGGGAAACUGGGUCUAAUUCCCGAUAGGACUGCAGGGUGGUGCCUGUGGUGGAAAACGAUUUUCUAGUGGUUGGGGAUGGGCUCGCGGCCUAUCAGCUUGUUGGUGGGGUAAUGGCCUACCAAGGCGGCGACGGGUAGCCGGCCUGAGAGGGUGGACGGCCACAUUGGGACUGAGAUACGGCCCAGACUCCUACGGGAGGCAGCAGUGGGGAAUAUUGCACAAUGGGCGGAAGCCUGAUGCAGCGACGCCGCGUGGGGGAUGACGGCCUUCGGGUUGUAAACUCCUUUCGACCGCGAGGAAGCCACCUGGUUGGAAGGGUGGUGACGGUAGUGGUAGAAGAAGCACCGGCUAACUACGUG
rnacentral:rRNA from 1 species